UACAGAGGGUGCGAGCGUUAAUCGGAAUUACUGGGCGUAAAGCGUGCGUAGACGGUUAUUUAAGUCGGGUGUGAAAGCCCCGGGCUCAACCUGGGAAUUGCAUUCGAGACUGAAUAGCUAGGGUACGGUAGAGGGAAGUGGAAUUUCCGGUGUAGCGGUGAAAUGCGUAGAUAUCGGAAGGAACACCAGUGGCGAAGGCGGCUUCCUGGACCUGUUCUGACGCUGAGGAGCGAAAGCGUGGGGAGCAAACAGG
rnacentral:rRNA from 1 species